GACAAUAGGGUCAUCCCACUUAAUGUUGCCUCAUCUGGUGGACAUCCCAUCACCAAAUUUAUAUGAAUUCUCUCAAAUAUCAAUGACAUGAACCUACCUUGUCUCCAUAUAUAAAGCUUAGCUUUUCUCCUCUCCUCCAGGCUCCCCCCAAGCUGAUCAACUAAAUUCUUCUUUCAUUUUCUCUACUUGGGCAGGAAAACAGCAAUGGCAAGAAUGAAACUUAUGGCACUUGCUUUAGUAAUUUUGAUGAUGGGGAAUUGCUGCUUGGCAACAAAUAGGAAAGUUAUAAAAGUAGAAGGUGAUGGGCUCAGGCAUGAACAAAUCAGUGUCCAUGGCCGUCAGCUGCUUGAUGACAGUGGCAGUGACAGAGCCAGCUAUCCAUCGAGCAGUAUAAACAACCAUCAUUUCCGGCCUAGGCAGGAUUUCCCCGGUGGUGGUACUGGAGAUGGAAGCGGUUCAAAUAAUUAGAUCAGUAUUGCUACGCCUAUAUGGUCAUGUUUUAUGGAAUAAUUAUCGACAAUGAUACUACGACGCUGUUUCAUGUUUAAUUAGGUUUUCUACAUAUAUGUGUGUGAUCUAAUUAGCUUCUCUUUGUAGCUUUGUACUAUUGUUCUCUUUUGCUAUUAUAUACGAGUUGUUAUAGUA